rnacentral:rRNA from 1 species
CACGUAGGGCGCAAGCGUUGUCCGGAAUUAUUGGGCGUAAAGAGCUCGUAGGCGGUCUGUUGCGUCCGCUGUGAAAACUCGGGGCUUAACCCCGAGCCUGCAGUGGAUACGGGCAGACUAGAGGUAGGUAGGGGAGAAUGGAAUUCCCAGUGUAGCGGUGAAAUGCGUAGAUAUUGGGAAGAACACCGGUGGCGAAGGCGGCGACCUGGUCCGAUACUGACGCUGAGGCGCGAAAGCGUGGGGAGCAAACAGG